GUGUAUAAGAGGCAGGUGAGUCAUCGAAUCUUUGAACGCACAUUGCGCCCCUUGGUAUUCCAUGGGGCAUGCCUGUUCGAGCGUCAUUUGUACCCUCAAGCUCUGCUUGGUGUUGGGUGUUUGUCCCGCCUUCGCGCGUGGACUCGCCUUAAAGUGAUUGGCAGCCGGAAUAAUUCUGGGGAACGCAGCACAACUGCAGCCUCCAUUUUACGCCGAGCGUCCAGUAAGCCUUUUUUCAACGUUUGACCUCGGAUCAGGUAGGGAUACCCGCUGAACUUAAGCAUAUCAAUAAGCGGAGGA
rnacentral:misc_RNA from 1 species